rfam:Triticum aestivum genome assembly, contig: Triticum_aestivum_CS42_TGACv1_scaffold_084425_1DS
GGAAGUUGUAUUCAAUGAAAGUUGUAUGUACGGCUUGGAGGGAGAUCUUUCCUAUCUUUCGAGAUCCACCCUAC